GCCCCUAUAGUUCAAUGGUAGAACGCAGCCAUGGUAAGGCUGAAGUGUUAGUUCAAUUCUGACUAGGGGCACCA
rnacentral:tRNA from 1 species